UGGGGAAUAUUGCACAAUGGGCGAAAGCCUGAUGCAGCAACGCCGCGUGAGCGAAGAAGGUCUUCGGAUCGUAAAGCUCUGUCCUUGGGGAAGAUAAUGACGGUACCCUUGGAGGAAGCCCCGGCUAACUACGUGCCAGCAGCCGCGGUAAUACGUAGGGGGCAAGCGUUAUCCGGAUUUACUGGGUGUAAAGGGAGCGUAGACGGCAAAGCAAGUCUGAAGUGAAAGUCCCGGGCUCAACCCGGGAACUGCUUUGGAAACUGUUUAGCUAGAGUGCAGGAGAGGUAAGUGGAAUUCCUAGUGUAGCGGUGAAAUGCGUAGAUAUUAGGAGGAACACCAGUGGCGAAGGCGGCUUACUGGACUGUAACUGACGUU
rnacentral:rRNA from 1 species